rnacentral:rRNA from 1 species
GGGGGGGGGCAAGCGUUGUUCGGAAUUACUGGGCGUAAAGAGCUCGUAGGCGGCCAACUAAGUCGGACGUGGAAUCCCUCGGGCUCAACCGAGGAACUGCGUCCGAUACUGGAUGGCUUGAGUCCCGGGAGAGGGAUGUGGAAUUCCAGGUGUAGCGGUGAAAUGCGUAGAUAUCUGGAGGAACACCGGUGGCGAAGGCGGCAUCCUGGACCGGCACUGACGCUGAGGAGCGAAAGCCAGGGGAGCAAACGGGAUUAGAUACCCCGGUAGUCCUGGCCCUAAACGAUGAAUGCUUGGUGUGGCGGGUAUCGAUCCCUGCCGUGCCGAAGCUAACGCGAUAAGCAUUCCGCCUGGGGAGUACGGUCGCAAGGCUG